CGCAUCAUCAUCAUCUUGGGAGAGAGUGAGAGAGAAGAGAGAUGCUAUAGGAGCAGAGGAUGUAGCAUUUGUGAGAUUUUCUCAUUUCAAUUUUCAAAGACAAGACAGAGCUUUUCUUUUAUUUCUUUUUCUUUUUCUUUUUAUUUUUUCUUUUUCCAGUGGCAAUGUGGUUAGGUAUUCAUGGUUUAUUCUUGAGAUUUAGUUUAGUUUUAUGAGUUGCUUUUAUUCUAAUUAGGUUUAAUUUUUUUAUUAAUUUGUGUUAUGCUUUUAUUUAUUUUUUGAUUUAUCAGUAAGGGCUUUAUCGUUUGUUCCACUGCUCAUGUGUGUAUAUUUUGCGAUAUUUGUUUUUGGGAGUUAAGCAUCUUUCUUUUAACUUUUUAACUGGUGUGCUUAUUUUAUUUUGUCCUCUUUGGUUUCUAUUCUUGAUUUAUGUUGCCUGGGACAGUAAAAAAGGUUGGAAUGAGAGACCUGUUAAUGAUAUAGCAUUUAUUUGUUCUUUGUUCUUUAUCAAGCUAUUUAAUUGACUGCCCUUCCAAUUAAAUGAAUGAUUGGCUAAAUUGAAGGCAUUAUUCUGGCAUGGUUUUCAUCCUUUAAUAAUUAGAUUUAUGCUUGGUCAAAAAUCUAGGGUUGUCUGCUUUGUCAGUGCCAAUAUUUUAUGUAUCCAUAUUUAUUCUUCAAGUUCUUUUUAACCUUUGAGCUUUUUUGAUGAUUGAGUUUCUUUUCCGCUUACUUAUGAAUCCUACAUCAGAUUCAGUAACCGAGCACUGAAUUUAGCUCAUUUGGCUGCCAUUGUUUUGAUAUUUUGGUAUUUGGUUUUUGCAGUUGCAUCAAUGAUGGGUGCAAUUAGUUUCGGUAAAGUUCAAAUUUUUAUGCGGGUGUGGCUUCUACAGGACAAUCAGAGGGAAUGAAAAGAUAUUUUUUUGGGUUCUAUUGUUUAAUUCUCAAAAAUUUUUUUAUCCUUUCUUAUGAAGCCUUUGUUAAAUUCAAUAACAGACUUCUAAAUUUAGAGGAUCCUACUUGAAUUGUUUCAUGUUGUCAUCUUUUCAAUGAUGCAUGUAAUUAGCAGUUGAAACACAGAUAUUGGAAACAACAUGAGAAUUUAAUUUUAUCAUCUUGGAAUUAAAGCUGUAUAAUUUUUUAUGUUUGUAUGUUUAAAAUUUUUACACGCCAGCCUGAUCAGUUUGGACAGAACGAUUAGAGGCAAUCAGAAAAGAUUGAUUUGGUCAUGCUUAGACUGAAACUUUAGUUUUUUUUUUUUAAUUUUAUAUUAUUGUUUUUGCCAAUUAAUUAAUUUAUUUUGAUCUGUCUUAUCAAGCUAUUAUUAGAAACUUAUGAGUUAGUGCAAUGACUUUGGUUAUGAGGAAUUCCUUUCAUUUGUAACUCACUCAAUUAUUUAUUGCUUCAAUUUUUUUGCUGGUAGGCUGAUUUUACUGGCAAGGAUUUUUAAUUGUUUGGUUGUUGGGCAUCCAUUUUUAAGGGAUGCUGUUGUUAUUUGAUGUGUUUCCCUAGGAGUUCUUUGGUGGGGGUGAUGUAGUUUUUUUGCCUUCUUUUGUCUUCUUGGAUUUUGCUGGGGAUUCUGUCCUCUUGGUGACAAAAUUUUUAUUUUGCUGGACUUUGAAAGCUAACUUACUUCUAGGAUGUUGUUUGGCCUGGGAUCUUUUUGUUUAUUUGGCCUUGCUUAUCCUAAAUUGUAAAUACAACUUUGGGUACCAUGGAGCUGUGCCGUGUAAGCUCCAUGUUAUCUUUUUUUAAUGACUUAUUUAUAUAUUGAUGACCAAGGUAUGUAAAAAUCAUGCUGCUUAAUGAUAAUGAGAUCAUCUUUGUUUAGCUAAGUGGAUUAUGCUUUUCUUUUACUAUGGUUCUGUUUCCUUAGUACUUUGUGCCCUUUGGAUAGCUGCAUUUAAGUCAUUUGGUUGUUGGUUAAUAACAUUUCACAGCUAAUUUUGCUACUCAGUACAUGUGAUUUGUUUUUAUAAAGUGUUUAUCUGUUUUUAGAGAUCUUUUGUUUCUCUUUAUUUUGUUUUCUUUCAAUUAUACCAUCUAUCCUCAAGUUCUCUAUCAAAUCUAUGUAUUAUUCUCUAUGCUCCAGCUUAAAAUAUUAUUCCACUACAUCACAUAGGUAACACAGACAUAGGAUUAUAAAAAAAAGGGAAAAAGAUUACUUUCUUUAUAGGAUUUAACUUCUUGUUGCUUUGAUCAUGGAUGGCAAAGUCUUCAAGUCCCAGUUGUUGCACCAAUACUGCUUGGAAUAAACAUGGCUUUCUCUUGUUUCUUUCGUGUGUAAAUUUUUUUUUUCUUAAUGACUGCUUCUUUUGCCUGAGUUGUUCUUGGUUCUGAUAAUGAAUAGAGAGGCCUGUCAGUCUCAAUUGCUAGCAGAUUAUUUUUAAAUCUCUUUCCUUUCUUCUACAUCUGCCUAUCAAGCCAUUGGCUCAAUCCAUUUAUCCCUAUAUUUUUAUGCUUCAACAUGCCCAAGUGUAGCUUUAUUUAUCUUGAAAUUUAACCAGGUCAUUGUUCACGGUUCAGCUAAAAAGAUAAUUUACUAGCAUAUUUAAUUUAUACUUAUUGAUGUUUUGACUUUUUUUUGAAUUUACAGGUAUAAAUUAUAUAUCAUAGUUGAAGAUGCCAUGGGCGUUGCAACAUUUGUUGUUUUUGGGUGCUUGGUUGUGGAUCUCAUUAGCCUUCCUACAUCCAAUUUUAGCACAUAGUUCAAAGGAUAGAAAUUAGGUUCCAACAAUCUUGACGAGAAUAUAUACACAAAGAAAAUAUUUCAAGUGAUUCUCAGCUCUAGAAUCGAGUAUGCAUUUGAGAUUUCUUUCAAAGUAGUUGACAUUAUCAAAGACGAUGAUAUACCUUCAGAAUCACAACCGGCUAUCUGCCCAAUAUUUGUAUAGAGCCCACUUUCUAGAAAAAUGAAGGAAGUUGCCCUGAAGAUCGAAAAAGCUCAAUUUAUCAGACAUUGAAAAAGCAAGCCAUUACCAGAGAUCCCAUCUACUCUGACAUCAAGCUCAGAGUCACUUUCAGGACAAGAUAAACUCUUGAACUUUAAGUCAGAUGAAAUCAAUGAUCAAGAAGUCGCGAAUUGAGUGAGUACAAAAUUCACCGUUGAUUAUUAUCCUUGAUACUCUCUAUUGAUGAUUGAUUUCGAGCCUAAAUAAAUAAAAACCAAUCUGAAAGAAACAGUAUCAAAGAAAAUCUGAAAAUGAGUGAUAAAAAAAGAAGGGAAAAACUUGUUACCUUUAGCAAUCAGAAAACGGUAGAGAGACAGAGCGAGCGGAAUGAUCGGUUGAUUAAGAAUUAAAGCCCAAGCGAAUCGAGAGCCUAAAAUGUGUAUGCCAAUGAGCAAUGGGUACGCUGAAACGCAUAAGGGGAAGUUGAGG
rnacentral:misc_RNA from 1 species